rnacentral:rRNA from 1 species
AGAGUUUGAUCCUGGCUCAGAACGAACGCUGGCGGCAGGCCUAACACAUGCAAGUCGAACGCCCCGCAAGGGGAGUGGCAGACGGGUGAGUAACGCGUGGGAAUCUACCCUGAUCUGCGGGAUAGCUCCGGGAAACUGGAAUUAAUACCGCAUAUGUCCUGAGGGACAAAGGUUUACCGGUUCAGGAUGAGCCCGCGUCCGAUUAGCUAGUUGGUGGGGUAAAGGCCUACCAAGGCGACGAUCGGUAGCUGGUCUAAGAGGAUGAUCAGCCACAUUGGGACUGAGACACGGCCCAAACUACUACGGGAGGCAGCAGUGGGGAAUAUUGGACAAUGGGCGCAAGCCUGAUCCAGCCAUGCCGCGUGAGUGAUGAAGGUCUUAGGAUUGUAAAGCUCUUUCACCGGGGACGAUAAUGACGGUACCCGGAGAAGAAGCCCCGGCUAACUUCGUG